UGGUCAGUUGUUGAGCUUCGAACGAGCAGAAAGCUACACAACAAGAUGAGGGUGGCAAUGGUCAGUUGUUGAGCUUCAAACGGGCAGAAAGCUACACAACAAAAUGAGGGUGGCGAUGG